rnacentral:tRNA from 1 species
UCCCUGGAGGACUAGUGGUUAGGCCACAAAGCUCUCACUGCUGCGGCCCGCGUUCGAUUCCCGGCUUGGGAA